rnacentral:rRNA from 1 species
UACGGGGGGAGCAAGCGUUGUUCGGAUUUACUGGGCGUAAAGGGCGCGUAGGCGGUCGUGACAAGUCACUUGUGAAAUCUCCGGGCUUAACUCGGAAAGGUCAAGUGAUACUGUCGGACUAGAGUACAGAAGGGGCAACUGGAAUUCUCGGUGUAGCGGUGAAAUGCAUAGAUAUCGGGAGGAAUACCGAUGGCGAAGGCAGGUCUCUGGGCUAUAACUGACGCUCAUGCACGAAAGCGUGGGGAGCAAACAGG